CUUUAGUUUGAACCCCCGAAACUCGGUGAGCUACUUCGAGACAGUCUUAAGAACGUACCCGUCUCUGUCGCAAAAGAGUGGGAAGAUCUCCAAGUAGGGGCAAUAAACCUACCGCACCUAGAGAUAGCUGGUUACUCAAGAAAAGAAUUUAAGUUCAACCUAAAGUUUCUCAAUUACACAAAAUAAAAACUUUAGAGCUACUCAAAUAAGGCACAGCUUAUUUGAAACAGGAUUCAACCUACACCAUAGGGUAAUUAUACUAAACAAGUAAUAAGUGGGCCUAAAAGCAGCCACCUACAAAAAGCGUUAAAGCUUAAUACUGGUUUUUCCUAAUAUCUUUAUUCUCCCAGAACCCCUCACUAAUAUUGAGUAACUCCAUAAACUUAUGGAAGCUAUUAUGCUAGAACUAGUAUCAAGAAAUAGAUUUUCUCCUAAAUGUAAGCCUAAGCCACAAUAGACAGACUAUUGGCAAUUAACGUAAAUGAAAGCAUUAUAGCAACCUCAACAAGAAAAUCCUACAAUGACAUGACGUCACCCUUACACUAGAACAUUAAAGGAAAGAUUAAAAGAAAAAGAAGGAACUCGGCAAACCAUAACCCCGCCUGUUUACCAAAAACACCGCCUCUUGAUUCUAUAUAAGAGGUCUAGCCUGCCCAGUGACAAAGUUCAACGGCCACGGUAUCCUAACCGUGCGAAGGUAGCAUAAUCACUUGUUCUUUAAAUGAGGACUUGUAUCAACGGCAUCACGAGGGUUAUACUGUCUCCUUUUUCUAAUCAGUGAAACUAAUCUUCCCGUGAAGAAGCGGGAAUACUCCCAUAAGACGAGAAGACCCCAUGGAGCUUCAAACCCUAUUACACCCCUAACCCAUAUAACUACUUAACCCUUAGGGCCCUGUACCAUUGGUUUUAGGUUGGGGCGACCACGGAGUACAACAAAACCUCCACAAUGAACGGAACUACUCCCUCAUCUAAGAGCUACACCUCUAAGAAUUAAAAUAUUAACAUAAAAUGAUCCAUUUUUUGAUCAAUGAACCAAGUUACCCUGGGGAUAACAGCGCAAUCCAUUUCAAGAGCCCCUAUCGACAAAUGGGUUUACGACCUCGAUGUUGGAUCAGGGUAUCCUAGUGGUGCAGCAG
rnacentral:rRNA from 1 species